UCACAUUGUCGCACAGAUUGGACUAAACUUCUGGUCCCACCGGACUCCAAUCGUCGCACGGGUAGCGUGCUUCGAUUUCGGUGAAUUAUUUUAAUGCCUUGAAUUGGCAACGAGGAACGCCACGCUUCGUCUGGCCAUCGACCCGACGACGGCUGACGACGAUGGCAAACAAACUGCACCGCUUACUGACGGCGCCAUUGACGCUGUCGAAGCGUGAGUUCGUGCAACCGAAAUUAGGGUUAGGGCUGGCGCUUCAGGGAGCGAGAACCCUUGCAACUUCUGCGCCGCCGCCGUCUCAAGAGGCGUCUAGGUUUGAUCCGCCGCCUUCCCCGUUGAAGCCGGCAGAAGCUGACAAGGAGGAAGUGAAAAUCGAAGAGGGAACUAGAAAAGAUGAGGUGGUGGAGAAUGAUGAUGGCGACUGCGUGAACAAGCUCACCGGUGAGAUUGGCGGUCCGAAGGGCCCCGAGCCAACUCGGUAUGGAGAUUGGGAACGCGGAGGUCGCUGCUCCGACUUUUAGUUCCCUUCGUCAGCAGAACUGAAUAAACUUCUUAAAAAGGUUGAUGCUGUCAGGAGAGAGUUCCAGUUGCUAGUCCCUGCAGACCUCGAGGAUAUUAUUAGUCUUUUUGUUUUCUUACAUAGUCUAUACUAAAUUUGUUUUGUUUGAUGGUAUGGAUAUGGUAUGGAUUUUGUGAUGUCGAUGGAUUUGGUCUGGUUUUGCUUUUACUA